CGAAGCUGGGACAGCAGAAGGAAGGAUGAACUUAAAAAAGGGGAAAUGAGAGAUGGACUGAGAUUGAAUCCACUUGUCUCAAAAUCCUGGAUUGGGCAAUCCGCCCUGACUCAUAGGGACAACCGAGUCUUCCUUUCAUUCCAAUGAUCGUGUUGACAAGUAGGCUCAAGGGUCUCACAUUCAAGCAUCCUACAGUAAGGAAAUGUCUAUACCACCUUGUCAUCAACAUGUGGUUAUUUCUGUGGAUAAAAUCAGAGAAACAGAAGAGGUCUUAGAAAGGUAUUCAACGAAAUGGCCACAGAGGAGCAGUGGGGAACGGCCCAGUGCUCACCACAAAAACCUGGUGAGUUUGGAUUCCGAGAAGCCACAGGAAAGCUGGAUUCACACACAUCUGUGAUCCUUGUGUUCCUGAAGAAAGAUGAGGAAAAGAUACGGAAGACUCCCUGGGAACUCCUGGCCAGCUAACCUGGAGCACACACUGGGGAAAACAAUGAAGAGACCCCAUGUCAAAAAAAAAAAAAAAAAAAAAAAAAAAAA